rnacentral:rRNA from 1 species
GACAGAGGGUGCAAGCGUUGUUCGGAAUUACUGGGCGUAAAGCGCGUGUAGGCUGCUUCGAAAGUCGGAUGUGAAAGCCCUGGGCUCAACCUAGGAAGUGCACUCGAAACUUCGAAGCUGGAGUCCUGGAGAGGAAGGCGGAAUUCUCGGUGUAGAGGUGAAAUUCGUAGAUAUCGAGAGGAACACCGGUGGCGAAGGCGGCCUUCUGGACAGUGACUGACGCUGAGACGCGAAAGCGUGGGGAGCAAACAGG